rnacentral:rRNA from 1 species
AUUGAACGCUGGCGGCAUGCCUUACACAUGCAAGUCGAACGGCAGCACGGGUGCUUGCACCUGGUGGCGAGUGGCGAACGGGUGAGUAAUACAACGGAACGUACCUUAUCGUGGGGGAUAACGCAGCGAAAGCUGUGCUAAUACCGCAUACGCCCUGAGGGGGAAAGCGGGGGAUCGAAAGACCUCGCGCGAUUAGAGCGGCCGAUGCCUGAUUAGCUUGUUGGUGGGGUAAAAGCCCACCAAGGCGACGAUCAGUAGCUGGUCUGAGAGGACGAUGAGCCACACUGGGACUGAGACACGGCCCAGACUCCUACGGGAGGCAGCAGUGGGGAAUUUUGGACAAUGGGGGAAACCCUGAUCCAGCAAUGCCGCGUGAGUGAAGAAGGCCUUCGGGUUGUAAAGCUCUUUUGUCAGGGAAGAAACACCGGCUCUAACACAGUCCGGGAAUGACGGUACCUGAAGAAUAAGCACCGGCUAACUACGUGCCAGCCGCCGCCGUAA